rnacentral:rRNA from 1 species
GUGUCAGCCGCCGCGGUAAUACGUAGGUGGCAAGCGUUGUCCGGAAUUAUUGGGCGUAAAGGGCUCGCAGGCGGUUUCUUAAGUCUGAUGUGAAAGCCCCCGGCUCAACCGGGGAGGGUCAUUGGAAACUGGGGAACUUGAGUGCAGAAGAGGAGGGUGGAAUUCCACGUGUAGCGGUGAAAUGCGUAGAGAUGUGGAGGAACACCAGUGGCGAAGGUGACUCUCUGGUCUGUAGCUGACGCUGAGGAGCGAAAGCGUGGGGAGCGAAUAGGAUUAGAAACCUGUGUAGUCC